CAGUAGCCGCGGUAAUACGAAGGGUGCAAGCGUUAAUCGGAAUUACUGGGCGUAAAGCGUGCGUAGGCGGUUUGUUAAGUCUGCUGUGAAAUCCCCGGGCUCAACCUGGGAAUGGCAGUGGAUACUGGCAAGCUAGAGUGUGUCAGAGGAUGGUGGAAUUCCCGGUGUAGCGGUGAAAUGCGUAGAGAUCGGGAGGAACAUCAGUGGCGAAGGCGGCCAUCUGGGACAACAUUGACGCUAAGGCACGAAAGCGUGGGGAGCAAACAGGAUUAGAUACCCCCGUAGUCCCUGUCUCUUAUAC
rnacentral:rRNA from 1 species